rnacentral:lncRNA from 1 species
UUUUGAUAAUAUUUUAUUUCAAAUAUACUUGAUUGCACACAAUUUCCAGUCAUAUUCUAUCAUAAAAAAUACACAAUCAUCAUUCAAUUUUAACCUUUAAUAUAUGUGUACAUAAAUACACAAUCAUAUGUGUACAGUGCCAGACUAUUACAACUUCGAACAUAACCUUUUAUUUAGUGAUCUAUAACUUCAUCAUACCCACUUAUAAGUCAAUCACGAGUUACUUUAUUAACUUUAGAAGGAAGUAAUAAUUACUAUACUGAAGGAAGUAUAGAUUUACAGAAAAACAAUGAUAAAUAAAUACAAUUGUAAGUAUAAAGAGUUGUUAACUCCAGGAAGGAAAUACAAAGUGGGAUUUCCACUAAAAAUAUCUUGAGUACAGUAAAAUCUGUCUAUACUGAUCACCUGUCUAUGAUGAUAACCUGUCUAUGAUGAUAACCUGUAAAAUCUGGCCUCAAUAGUUUUUAAGAUAGUAAACUUUUAUGGUCAAAUUCCAAAAAAAAAACCCAAAGAAAAUCUUAAUUUUAAAAUGAAUAGUGAUAUCCAGUGAUAGUUACAAGGUUUUCAUAACUACUUGAAAAAUAGAGGAAAACCCCUAUUAACAUAGCACAAAUAUUCAACCAUAAAAUAUAUGGAGGAAGGUUAUGAAUUGGCAUCACAUAGAUGUAUAUUUGCAAUCAGAAAAAGUUCAGUGAAUAUAAUGAAAGUUUUAAACCACUUCAGAAUGAUGUAUUUACAAAUGUAAGGAAUUCUAAAAUAUAUAUCUCCUUAUAAUCAUGUAUAACAAAAUAAAUAAUAACAAUAACAUGCUUGGAUUUUAUUUUAGAUACCUUGUCCAAAGUAGAUCUAGCAAUCUGUAUUGGGACUAAUACAAACUAAUUCCAUGGAUUCAAAUCCCUUAUUUCAACCUUAAGGUCCUUUGAUGUUCUGCAUAUUCAUUUCUCAUAUAUCGCUUUGAUUACAAUUUUUUUUUAGUGUAAAAUAAAAGUUUCAAAUAUUGCAAAAACUUUGUCAAUGAUAAAUUCAUGAAUCAUAACCUGAUUAAUUUUUAAACAAUCAGAUCCAACGUUAAUUUGAGAUGGAUGAUAGGUCAAAGGGAAAAAGAUUAACAAUAAAGAACUAAGUGGAUCUGAAUCGGGUGUGGAUCUGUAUCAGGUGUGUAUCUUUUGUUGAUUUCACAUUCUCAGUAUUUAUUUAGAAUGACAGUAGUUACUGAAGAAAUAAUUCUUUGUUUUGUAGUGAAAUGUACUGUACUUUGGAAGAAAAACUGUUAAGUAUUAAAAUUAUUAGCAGAAAAACAGUUAUAUGCUUUAUAAAUAUUUAAAAAUAUAUAUCUCAACAAGCAAACAAUAAAAAUUAGCAAGCAGAUAUAUUUUUAUAUUUUCUUUUAGUUUCUUAAUAGUGAAACAGGAUUGCUUCCCUUUGGUAAUAAGGCUAAAGAAGCAGAAGCGGACAUAAUUCCAAUAGAGAUGCCUUAUGAGUUGAUAGAGAUUUUUUCAGUCAGAAUCAUGCUCUUUUGUUACAAGAAAGUAAAACAAAAUAACCUGGGAAUAACUAUUUUUAAGCAUUUAUAUAAUAAACAAUUUACAAAAAAAAGUUGUGUAGUUAUUUACACUCAGAACACAUAAAGGUAAAAAAAAACCAAAAAACAAUAAGUGUGUAUAACUAAAGGCAUAUUGUGUAAAAUGACUAGAACAAUCAGCAAAAUAUAAAACAACAAAAAAUCUCAAGAUAACUUUAAAAGUUUUAACAUCAUAAAGAAAUCAACUCAAUAUUGUGUAUUAUCGCACU